CGCCGGACAGCAGGCGGAAACACGUCACUGCGGGACCGCUGCGAGCGACGCACACAGCGCGAGGCCCGAGCCGGUUCCGUUAAAACCGUUGAAAGUUGAACCAGGCGCGCGGCCGUUAAAGCACGACUGGGCAGGUCGGCCAGUGAGAACAGCGAGAAGAGUUUAAAAGGAAGACAGAUUUACAGAGCGAGCGUCAGAGGAGCGGGAGACAGAGUAGGAAGGCUUUGGCUCAACGGGGCUUCGGCGAUGAAGGGUCGAGGCGAGGAUGAAGGACAAUGAUGAUCAAACUUGUAGCGAUUUACUAAACCCGUGUUCAGGGACACUGAGGGGUUUCAUUGACCGGGUCUGGACUGGAGCAAUAUUUACAGAGGUCCCAGAAACUAUUCUGUCCAGCUUUGGGACACCAAUCCGCAUUUUCACAAAGGUUUCCCACAUCACCCUCCGGGCGCGGGAGCCUUUCUCCAUCACCAGGCUCAGGAGGAGUUUAGAACUGUCCGCCCGCUCUCCCUUAUCAGCGAG